CCCAGACUCCUACGGGAGGCAGCAGUGGGGAAUCUUCCGCAAUGGGCGAAAGCCUGACGGAGCAACGCCGCGUGAUCGAAUGAGGGCCUUCGGGUUGUAAAGAUCUGUUGACAGGGACGAAUAAGCAAUGCGAAUAGUUUUGUGUAUGACGGUACCUGUUUAGAAAGCCCCGGCUAACUACGUGCCAGCAGCCGCGGUAAUACGUAGGGGGCAAGCGUUGUCCGGAAUGACUGGGCGUAAAGGGAGUGUAGGCGGCCUUGUAAGUUAGAUGUGAAAUCCUACGGCUUAACCGUAGAACUGCAUCUAAAACUGUGAGGCUGGAGUGCAGGAGAGGUGAGUGGAAUUCCUAGUGUAGCGGUGGAAUGCGUAGAUAUUAGGAGGAACACCAGAGGCGAAGGCGACUCACUGGACUGUAACUGACGCUGAGGCUCGAAAGCGUGGGGAGCAAACAGGAUUAGAUACCCCCGUAC
rnacentral:rRNA from 1 species